UACGUAGGGGGCAAGCGUUGUCCGGAUUUAUUGGGCGUAAAGAGCGUGUAGGCGGCUAGAUAGGUCCGUUGUGAAAACUCGAGGCUCAACCUCGAGACGCCGGUGGAAACCAUCUAGCUAGAGUCCGGAAGAGGCGAGUGGAAUUCCUGGUGUAGCGGUGAAAUGCGCAGAUAUCGGGAAGAACACCGGUGGCGAAGGCGGCAUCCUGGACCGACACUGACGCUGAGGAGCGAAAGCCAGGGGAGCAAACGGG
rnacentral:rRNA from 1 species